GGGAAGCAGAUGGGGCGCCAGUGGCGGCAGGUGAAGGCCGCACCAGUAGACCACUAAGGGCCCUGAGGAGGGGAUCUCCCAAUGGUGAGGACUGCAGUCCCCACUAAGAGCAAUUACGCGGUCUGGUAGCUAUCCCUUUUGGAAGCACGUACUUCAUAGAAAUAUCAUGAGAAACUGUCAUUGAAGCCAUACUCGCUCUGAAUAUGACGUCAGAAUAAUCCCUUAAGACUGUGGAUCUGCAUUCUCCUCGAGCAAGACGGCUGUUUCCAAUACC
rnacentral:lncRNA from 1 species